rnacentral:tRNA from 1 species
GCACAAGUAGCUUAAUGGUAGAGCAAAACACUGAAAAUGUUUGGGUUAUUGGUUCAAAUCCGAUCUUGGGCG